GAUGAAGAACGUAGCGAAAUGCGAUACGUAAUGUGAAUUGCAAAUUCAGUGAAUCAUCGAGUCUUUGAACGCACAUUGCGCCCCCUGGUAUUCCGGGAGGCAUGCCUGUCCGAGCGUCAUUGCUGCCCUCAAGCACGGCUUGUGUGUUGGGCCCCGUCCUCCGAUCCCGGGGGACGGGCCCGAAGGCAGCGGCGGCACCGCGUCCGGUCCUCGAGCGUAUGGGGCUUUGUCACCCGCUCUGUAGGCCCGGCCGGCGCUUGCCGAUCAACCCAAAUUUUUAUCCAGGUUGACCUCGGAUCAGGUAGGGAUACCCGCUGAACUUAAGCAUAUCAAUAAGCGGAGGA
rnacentral:misc_RNA from 1 species